rnacentral:rRNA from 1 species
GCAGCUUAACCGCGAUAAGUUUGACCCGCCUGGGGAGUACGGUCGCAAGAUUAAAACUCCAAAGGAAUUGAUCGGGGGCCCGCACAAGCGGUGGAGCAUGUGGUUUAAUUCGAUGCAACGCGAAGAACCUUACCAGCUCUUGACAUCCUCGGAACUUGUCAGAAAUGACUUGGUGCCUUGCGGGAACCGAGUGACAGGUGCUGCAUGGCUGUCGUCAGCUCGUGUCGUGAGGUGUUGGGUUAAGUGCCCGUAACGAGCGCAACCCUUGUGCCUUUGUUGACCAGCACGUAAUGGUGGGAACUCAAAGGAGACUGCCGGUGACAAACCGGAGGAAGGUGGGGAUGACGUCAAGUCAUCAUGGCCCUUAUCGAGCUGGGCUACACACGUGCUA